UUUACACUCCUACGGGAGGCAGCAGUGGGGAAUCUUGGACAAUGGGCGCAAGCCUGAUCCAGCCAUGCCGCGUGAGUGAUGAAGGCCCUAGGGUCGUAAAGCUCUUUCGCCAGGGAUGAUAAUGACAGUACCUGGUAAAGAAACCCCGGCUAACUCCGUGCCAGCAGCCGCGGUAAUACGGAGGGGGUUAGCGUUGUUCGGAAUUACUGGGCGUAAAGCGCGCGUAGGCGGACUGGAAAGUUGGGGGUGAAAUCCCGGGGCUCAACCCCGGAACUGCCUCCAAAACUCCCAGUCUUGAGUUCGAGAGAGGUGAGUGGAAUUCCGAGUGUAGAGGUGAAAUUCGUAGAUAUUCGGAGGAACACCAGUGGCGAAGGCGGCUCACUGGCUCGAUACUGACGCUGAGGUGCGAAAGUGUGGGGAGCAAACAGGAUUAGAUACCCUGGUAG
rnacentral:rRNA from 1 species